rfam:Plesiomonas shigelloides 302-73 genomic scaffold scaffold00002, whole genome shotgun sequence.
CGGGCCAGAAGAGGUGCGUCAUUCAGGCAGCUGCCGGUCAACCGGAAAUUUGCGGCAGUCAGGGGAAUGUACGCCGAGAUAGUUCAGGGUUCCGGAGCCCUGCCUAUCGGCCGCGGAGGCUGAAUCCUUCCGGCUGUCACCUUGCGAGGUGGAGCGCUUCUGGGUGC